rnacentral:rRNA from 1 species
GUGCCAGCAGCCGCGGUAAUACGUAGGGUGCGAGCGUUAAUCGGAAUUACUGGGCGUAAAGCGUGCGCAGGCGGUUUGUUAAGACAGGCGUGAAAUCCCCGGGCUCAACCUGGGAACUGCGCUUGUGACUGGCAGGCUAGAGUACGGCAGAGGGGGGUGGAAUUCCACGUGUAGCAGUGAAAUGCGUAGAGAUGUGGAGGAACACCAAUGGCGAAGGCAGCCCCCUGGGUCGAUACUGACGCUCAUGCACGAAAGCGUGGGUAGCAAACAGGAUUAGAAACCCCUGUAGUCC